AUCAGGCUUACUCUGCUCACCUCUCUAGCCUCAACAGCAGAAAGUCUGCUUCGACUAUCAAGAAAUGCGAACAACGAUGUCUGGCAAGUGUGGAUUAUUACGUUGACAAAAAUUGGAUAUUCGGUCAAGUGGUGUCUCAAAAAAGGGAUCAAUCUGAAGGAAAAUAAAUCGGUCAUCUUUGCAUCAAUUUCAACAAAACUCCGAAGAAAUUUUAAGCCAACCAAGAGGACAUCGAAUUUCUUAAUAAACAAUAUGACUCAAAA